rnacentral:rRNA from 1 species
UCCGGAGGGGGCUAUCGUUGUUCGGAAUUACUGGGCGUAAAGCGCACGUAGGCGGACUGUUAAGUCGGGGGUGAAAUCCCGGGGCUCAACCCCGGAAUGGCCUUCGAUACUGGCGGUCUUGAGGUCUGGAGAGGUGAGUGGAAUUCCGAGUGUAGAGGUGAAAUUCGUAGAUAUUGGGAAGAACACCGGUGGCGAAGGCGGCCAUCUGGACGGUAACUGACGCUGAGGCGCGAAAGCGUGGGGAGAAAACAGG